UCUCUGAGUGAUACUCAGUCCUCUUCUGGU
rnacentral:piRNA from 1 species